UACGAAGGGGGCUAGCGUUGUUCGGAAUUACUGGGCGUAAAGCGCGCGCAGGCGGCUAUCCAAGUCAGUGGUGAAAGCCCGGAGCUCAACUCCGGAACUGCCAUUGAAACUGUUUAGCUUGAGGAUGAGAGAGGUGAGUGGAAUUCCCAGUGUAGAGGUGAAAUACGUAGAUAUUGGGAAGAACACCGGUGGCGAAGGCGGCUCACUGGCUCAUUACUGACGCUCAGGCGCGAUAGCGUGGGGAUCAAACAGG
rnacentral:rRNA from 1 species